UAACAGGUACUGGAGGACCGAACCCACGCAUGUUGCAAAAUGCGGGGAUGAGCUGUGGAUAGGGGUGAAAGGCUAAACAAACUUGGAAAUAGCUGGUUCUCUCCGAAAACUAUUUAGGUAGUGCCUCAAGUAUUACCAUCGGGGGUAGAGCACUGUUUUGGCUAGGGGGUCAUGGCGACUUACCAACCCAAGGCAAACUCCGAAUACCGAAGAGUACAGCGCGGGAGACAGAGCACCGGGUGCUAACGUCCGGACUCAAGAGGGAA
rnacentral:rRNA from 1 species